rnacentral:rRNA from 1 species
AAGGCCUUCGGGUCGAAAACCACUGUCAGUGGGAAAGAUGGGUGUCGGUGUUAAUACCACCGGCAUCUGACGGUACCUGCAGAGGAAGCCCCGGCCAACUCUGUGCCAGCAGCCGCGGUAAGACAGAGGGGGCAAGCGUUGCUCGGAAUUACUGGGCGUAAAGGGCGCGUAGGCGGGAUGGCAAGUCGGUCGUGAAAUCCCUCGGCUCAACCGAGGAACGUCGAUCGAUACUGCCGUUCUUGGAGGAUUGCAGAGGAGACUGGAAUUCCCGGUGUAGGGGUGAAAUGUGUAGAGAUCGGGAGGAACACCGGUGGCGAAGGCGGGUCUCGUGGGCAAUUCCUGACGCUGAGGCGACGAAAGCGGUGGGGAGACGAAACGGGUAUUAGACUACCCCGGUAGUCCACGCUAGUAAACGAUGAGCACUAGGUGUGGGGGGGUUCAGUCCCUUCCGUGCCGCAGCUAACGCAUUAAGUGCUCCGCCUGGGGAGUACGGCCGCAAGGUUG